rnacentral:rRNA from 1 species
GAUGAACGCUGGCGGCGUGCCUAAUACAUGCAAGUCGAGCGAACGGACGAGAAGCUUGCUUCUCUGAUGUUAGCGGCGGACGGGUGAGUAACACGUGGAUAACCUACCUAUAAGACUGGGAUAACUUCGGGAAACCGGAGCUAAUACCGGAUAAUAUUUUGAACCGUAUGGUUCAAAAGUGAAAGACGGUCUUGCUGUCACUUAUAGAUGGAUCCGCGCUGCAUUAGCUAGUUGGUAAGGUAACGGCUUACCAAGGCAACGAUGCAUAGCCGACCUGAGAGGGUGAUCGGCCACACUGGAACUGAGACACGGUCCAGACUCCUACGGGAGGCAGCAGUAGGGAAUCUUCCGCAAUGGGCGAAAGCCUGACGGAGCAACGCCGCGUGAGUGAUGAAGGUCUUCGGAUCGUAAAACUCUGUUAUUAGGGAAGAACAUAUGUGUAAGUAACUGUGCACAUCUUGACNGCACCCUAUCAGAAAGCCACGGCUAACUACGUGCCAGCAGCCGCGGUAAUACGUAGGUGGGCAGCGUUAUCCGGAAUUUAUGGGCGUAAAGCGCGCGUAGGCGGUUUUUUAGUCUGAUGUGAAAGCCCACGGCUCAACCGUGGAGGGUCAUUGGAAACUGGAAAACUUGAGUGCAGAAGAGGAAAGUGGAAUUCCAUGUGUAGCGGUGAAAUGCGCAGAGAUAUGGAGGAACACCAGUGGCGAAGGCGACUUUCUGGUCUGUAACUGACGCUGAUGUGCGAAAGCGUGGGGAUCAAACAGGAUUAGAUACCCUGGUAGUCCACGCCGUAAACGAUGAGUGCUAAGUGUUAGGGGGUUUCCGACCCUUAGUGCUGCAGCUAACGCAUUAAGCACUCCGCCUGGGGAGUACGACCGCAAGGUUGAAACUCAAAGGAAUUGACGGGGACCCGCACAAGCGGUGGAGCAUGUGGUUUAAUUCGAAGCAACGCGAAGAACCUUACCAAAUCUUGACAUCCUUUGACAACUCUAGAGAUAGAGCCUUCCCCUUCGGGGGACAAAGUGACAGGUGGUGCAUGGUUGUCGUCAGCUCGUGUCGUGAGAUGUUGGGUUAAGUCCCGCAACGAGCGCAACCCUUAAGCUUAGUUGCCAUCAUUAAGUUGGGCACUCUAAGUUGACUGCCGGUGACAAACCGGAGGAAGGUGGGGAUGACGUCAAAUCAUCAUGCCCCUUAUGAUUUGGGCUACACACGUGCUACAAUGGACAAUACAAAGGGCAGCGAAACCGCGAGGUCAAGCAAAUCCCAUAAAGUUGUUCUCAGUUCGGAUUGUAGUCUGCAACUCGACUACAUGAAGCUGGAAUCGCUAGUAAUCGUAGAUCAGCAUGCUACGGUGAAUACGUUCCCGGGUCU